CUGUCUUUUUCUUGAUGAACGCUGCCUCACAGGUGAGGAUGAGGAUGAUGUAGCAGUAACAGGGGCAGGUGAUGAACUUUUCCUCACAGAUGAGGAUGAGGAUGAUGUAGCAGUAACAGGGGCAGGUGAUGAACGCUGCCUCACAGGUGAGGAUGAGGAUGAUGUAGCAGUCACAGGGGCAGGUGAUGAACGCUGCCUCACAGGUGAGGAUGAGGAUGAUGUAGCAGUCACAGGGGCAGGUGAUGAACUUUUCCUCACAGGUGAGGAUGAGGAUGAUGUAGCAGUCACAGGAGCAGGUGAUGAACGCUGCACAGAAGACCAAAGACACAAAAAGAAAUACCACAGAUGUAAACAAAAAGUAAAUAUAAAUGCUUGCUUAAUUCAAAGUGCAUUGAUUUAGUUUAAGGGCAAGACAAAUGCAUUUGGAACAAAUAAUGUUU
ensembl:lncRNA